GACCGCGUAGCUCAGUUGGAAGAGCAUUGGGCUAGUAUUCCAAAGGUCGUAGGUUCGAUCCCGCCGUGGCCA